UACGAAGGGGGCUAGCGUUGCUCGGAAUCACUGGGCGUAAAGGGUGCGUAGGCGGGUUUUUAAGUCAGGGGUGAAAUCCUGGAGCUCAACUCCAGAACUGCCUUUGAUACUGAAGAUCUCGAGUCCGGGAGAGGUGAGUGGAACUGCGAGUGUAGAGGUGAAAUUCGUAGAUAUUCGCAAGAACACCAGUGGCGAAGGCGGCUCACUGGCCCGUUACUGACGCUGAGGCACGAAAGCGUGGGGAGCAAACAGG
rnacentral:rRNA from 1 species